GAAGCAGGAGGGACCACCCUCCAAGGCUAAAUACUACCUAGUGACCGAUAGCGUAUAGUACCGUGAGGGAAAGGUGAAAAGAACCCCGGGAGGGGAGUGAAAUAGAACCUGAAACCCUGCACUUACAAGCUGUGGAAGCACAUUUCUUGUGUGACCGCGUACUUUUUGUAGAACGGGCCAACGAGUUACGUUAAGUAGCAAGGUUAAGCACUUAAGGUGUGGAGCCGUAGCGAAAGCGAGUUUUAACUGAGCGUUCAGUUACUUGACGUAGACCCGAAACCGGGCGACCUACCCAUGAGCAGGAUGAAGCGAAAGUAAAAUUUCGUGGAGGUCCGAACCCACGAGCGUUGAAAAGCUCGGGGAUGACUUGUGGGUAGCGGUGAAAUUCCAAUCGAGCCCGGAGAUAGCUGGUUCUCCCCGAAAUAGCUUUAGGGCUAGCCUCAAGGUGAGAGAUACGGAGGUAGAGCACUGAAUGUCCUAGGGGGUAUUGCACCUACCGAAGACUAUCAAACUCCGAAUGCCGUCAUCUUAUACUUGGGAGUCAGACUGUGGGUGAUAAGAUUCAUAGUCGAAAGGGCAACAGCCCAGAUCGUCAGCUAAGGUCCCUAAAUGUAAGUUAAGUGGUAAAGGAUGUGGGAUUGCACAGACAACCAGGAUGUUGGCUUAGAAGCAGCCACUCAUUCAAAGAGUGCGUAAUAGCUCACUGGUCGAGUGAUCCUGCGCCGAAGAUUUCCGGGGCUAAAACUUACUACCGAAGCUACGGCAUCAGUAAUGAUGGGUAGGGGAGCUUCCCAUACGGGUUGAAGCAUGACCGUAAGGACAUGUGGACAGUAUGGGAGUGAGAAUGUUGGCAUGAGUAGCGAGAUGUGGGUGAGAAUCCCACAGGCCGUAAACCCAAGGUUUCCAGGGGAAGGUUCGUCCGCCCUGGGUUAGUCGGGACCUAAGCUGAGGCCGAAAGGCGUAGGUGAUGGACAACAGGUUGAUAUUCCUGUACUACCGAUAACCGUUUGAGAGAAGGGAUGACACAGUAGGAUAAGCUAAGCACACUGUUGGUUAUGUGUGCCCAAGCAUUGAGGCAGUCAAAGUAGGCAAAUCCGCUUUGAUAAUGCUGGGAUGUGAUGGGGAGCGAAAUUUAGUAGCGAAGUAGCUGAUUUCACACUGUCAAGAAAAGUCUCUAUCGAGGUUAAAGGUACCCGUACCGCAAACCGACACAGGUGGGUGAGGAGAGUAUCCUAAGGCCAGCGAGAGAACUGUUGUUAAGGAACUCGGCAAAAUGACCCCGUAACUUAGGGAUAAGGGGUGCCACCAUCAGGUGGCCGCAGAGAAUAGGCCCAAGCGACUGUUUACCAAAAACAUAGGUUUCUGCUAAGUCGCAAGACGAUGUAUAGGAGCUGACGCCUGCCCGGUGCUGGAAGGUUAAGGGGAUCUGUUAGAGCAAUCGAAGCAGUGAACUUAAGCCCCAGUAAACGGCGGCCGUAACUAUAACGGUCCUAAGGUAGCGAAAUUCCUUGUCGGGUAAGUUCCGACCCGCACGAAAGGCGUAACGAUUUGGGCACUGUCUCAACAACAGACUCGGUGAAAUUGUAAUUCCGGUGAAGAUGCCGGAUACCUGCGACAGGACGGAAAGACCCCAUGGAGCUUUACUGUAGCUUGACAUUGGGUCUUGGUACUACAUGUACAGGAUAGGUG
rnacentral:rRNA from 1 species